rnacentral:rRNA from 2 species
GGGUUGUGAGGUUAAGCGACUAAGCGUACACGGUGGAUGCCCUGGCAGUCAGAGGCGAUGAAGGACGUGCUAAUCUGCGAUAAGCGCCGGUAAGGUGAUAUGAACCGUUAUAACCGGCGAUUUCCGAAUGGGGAAACCCAGUGUGACUCGUCACACUAUCAUUAACUGAAUCCAUAGGUUAAUGAGGCGAACCGGGGGAACUGAAACAUCUAAGUACCCCGAGGAAAAGAAAUCAACCGAGAUUCCCCCAGUAGCGGCGAGCGAACGGGGAGGAGCCCAGAGCCUGAAUCAGCAUGUGUGUUAGUGGAAGCGUCUGGAAAGGCGCGCGAUACAGGGUGACAGCCCCGUACACAAAAGCGCAUGUGCUGUGAGCUCGAUGAGUAGGGCGGGACACGUGGUAUCCUGUCUGAAUAUGGGGGGACCAUCCUCCAAGGCUAAAUACUCCUGACUGACCGAUAGUGAACCAGUACCGUGAGGGAAAGGCGAAAAGAACCCCGGCGAGGGGAGUGAAAAAGAACCUGAAACCGUGUACGUACAAGCAGUGGGAGCACAGGUUUACCUG